GGAAAAAAAUGUGCAGAUUGCUGUCCUGUGGAAACUGUAGAGAAUUGCUGGACGUCAGGAGCACCCUGGAACUCCUACAGUUACCGGUGCUGCUUCCUGUGCAAAACUUUUCUGUGAGAAAAGGACUUUUUAAGCUUCACAGUAGAACUUUUGGAAUCCCUGGAGACUCGGUAUCUAACUGCAUCAGGCAGAAACAGUUUCUUCCCUUCAUCCCUGAAGCUCAGCAAUGUUAUUCCGAGCACCUGGAAGGAACAAGAGCUCACAAUGCCUGUGAUGCUUCCCCCUGGCAACUCAAGGGAAGGAGCACAGUGACAAUUGUGAUUUUCAAUAAAUUUAAAGAAAAUAAGCAGACAAAGC